rnacentral:rRNA from 1 species
UACAGAGGUCUCAAGCGUUGUUCGGAUUCAUUGGGCGUAAAGGGUGCGUAGGCGGCGCGGUAAGUCGGGUGUGAAAUCUCGGGGCUUAACUCCGAAACUGCAUUCGAUACUGCCGUGCUUGAGGACUGGAGAGGAGACUGGAAUUUACGGUGUAGCGGUGAAAUGCGUAGAUAUCGUAAGGAAGACCAGUGGCGAAGGCGGGUUUCUGGACAGUUCCUGACGCUGAGGCACGAAGGUCAGGGGAGCAAACGGG